rnacentral:lncRNA from 1 species
CUCUAUUUCUGUCUUAUAGAUUAGAGUAACUAAAAGCCCUAACUUUCUGGAGGGAAGAUACAAGUAUUUUUUUAGGAGUUCCCAGUACCAGAAACCACUUGCAAGAUCAUGUAGAGAGAACUGAAGUCACAGGGGUAAACAUUACCCUGAAAUUUGGAGAGACAAGUGGGUACAUCCAGAAAGAAAUAGCUUGUGUGGAGCAGAAGCCAGUCAUAAAAUGGUGCGAACACUUAAAUGAGUCUGAGAUGAAGAGGAGAAAAAGAAAAAAAUUAUUUGAAGAAAUAAUGGCUGGAAACUUCAUAAAUUUGGCAAAAGACAAAAACCCGCUGAGUUAAUAAGCCCAGCAAACUCCGAACAGGAUAAAUCCAAAGAAAUGACUGCCCAGAGACAGCAUAAAGAGCUUGCAAACUAAAUGCAAAGAAAAAAAAUUGAAAGCAGCCAGAGGAAAAAAAUGAAUUACUUACAGGAAACAACAAUUAGUUGACUGUGCAUUGUUCACCAGAAAUCAUGAAGGCCAAGGGCUAAGAGCACCAAUGGGAAAAGGACAGUCUCUUCAAUAAAUGUGGGAAAACUAGGUAUCCACACAUGGAAGGGUAAAACUGGUGUUUACCCUUGUCUCACACGGUGUGCAAAAAUUAGCUCAAUUUAAAAAUGAGACCUGAAGCUGUAAAACUAUUAAAAGAGAAAAUAGAG